CAACCUAAUUUUGUAGCAACGAAACGACGCCGAAUCACGUUCCCCUUUAAGUUAAAAUAAAAAGAUGGCGUAGGAAUUGGUUGCGGUGGUAGGCAUUGUUACGCAAUCCCAUAUGGCGCUGAUAGCGUCAUUUUUGGUUCUCUUAUCCACUCUCUCUUCUUAUCUUUCCCUUCUAACACUCCGAUAAACGUCGUCGUUCGCGGCAGCGUCUCGGAGAACGACAAUGCCGUUUUUACGACGGCGGCGGAGGACGUAGCGUGGGUGCCAGACAAGAUCCAACUCAAUGGACUGCACAUGCCCAACAACAUCCUCCGCGAGGGCAUUAACCCGCGCACCAGGGCUCACUAACUCGACGAUCUCAGACAAUAUGAAGGUAUAUUGCAUUAUAAAGAGCUGGUUCAGAUAACCACACUGCCUUACCAUGUUCUGGAGAGCUUAUAGUUGAGGAGCACCAUAGUAACUAUCGAGAACAUUGGGCAGGUGGAAGAGACGUGUUUGAGUUUCUCGCUCUGUCUAGUGUGAGUUGGACUUGAGAGGUUAGCUGAUAGAUUGAAACCUUAUGAUGGGCGAAUUUUUGUAACAUUUGAUGAAGUUAAUUUCUCAGUUGCGAGGAGAGGAAUGCACCAGGCGGCUCGCGAGUUUAGGGCUUGAGUAUACAGGGAAGCACACACAUGAUAGUUUUCUAUUUGAUCAUUAUGAGAUAUGGUUUGAAUUUGGCGGUUCAGGGCUUAAUUUAGACACGGAAGUGGAAAAAAAUUGGAAAUAAUCUCAGUGCAGUAGUGUUGUGUCUCUGCUCACAAGAUCUUUCCUUGCCCUUGAGCAACUCCAUGCUAUUUUUGGGUUAGUUAGGGAGCGAGCUCAGAAGUAAGAACCUGGUUUGUGGAUUUCGACGUAGAGAAUGAUCAUAUGUGAUUUUGGCGGAGAAUUCAACAGAAUCAAAGUCUUGCGAUUA